rnacentral:rRNA from 1 species
GAUGAACGUUGGCGGCGUGCCUAAUACAUGCAAGUCGAGCGAAUGGAUUAAGAGCUUGCUCUUAUGAAGUUAGCGGCGGACGGGUGAGUAACACGUGGGUAACCUGCCCAUAAGACUGGGAUAACUCCGGGAAACCGGGGCUAAUACCGGAUAACAUUCUGAACCGCAUGGUUCGAAAUUGAAAGGCGACUUCGGCUGUCACUUAUGGAUGGACCCGCGUCGCAUUAGCUAGUUGGUGAGGUAACGGCUCACCAAGGCAACGAUGCGUAGCCGACCUGAGAGGGUGAUCGGCCACACUGGGACUGAGACACGGCCCAGACUCCUACGGGAGGCAGCAGUAGGGAAUCUUCCGCAAUGGACGAAAGCCUGACGGAGCAACGCCGCGUGAGUGAUGAAGGCUUUCGGGUCGUAAAACUCUGUUGUUAGGGAAGAACAAGUGCUAGUUGAAUAAGCUGACACCUUGACGGUACCUAACCAGAAAGCCACGGCUAACUACGUGCCAGCCGCCGCAGUAA